rnacentral:rRNA from 1 species
GACGUAGGGUGCAAGCGUUGUCCGGAUUUAUUGGGCGUAAAGGGCUCGUAGGCGGUUUGUCGCGUCGGGAGUGAAAACACGGGGCUUAACCCCGUGCCUGCUUCCGAUACGGGCAGACUAGAGGUAUGCAGGGGAGAACGGAAUUCCUGGUGUAGCGGUGAAAUGCGCAGAUAUCAGGAGGAACACCGAUGGCGAAGGCAGGUCACUGGGCCGCAACUGACGCUGAGGAGCGAAAGCAUGGGGAGCGAACAGG